rnacentral:lncRNA from 1 species
GCUGCCUAUUCAUGUACCUGGCACACAACUGUUGUUCAACAAAUACUUGCAGAAUCACAGGAUUAAUAGCAGAUGCACUGCAGUCCUCCUGGCUCCUGCACUUGCCACAGGAGAAUGGCAGUACUUUGGAGGUUGCCCAUCUCCUGUGGGCUCCAGAAACCUCAGGUCUGUGAGAGUUUUGGCAAGUGGAAGGUGGAUGGCAGUGAUGUGUGUCAUUUCCAGGCCUGGCAACCUAAAUACCUCCUCUGUGCAUUCCACGGUGGCUCAUUCUUGCCUUGUUGGCCAGCCAGAUGCAGAAGAUCCAGCAUAGAGUUCCAAAGCCUCCAGGAUUCCAAGGCAUCUAGGAGAUAGAGGAGCAACUAAAUGCAGGGUGCCUGGGCCCCUGGAGGACUGCAUGGAGCAGAACAACUCUUCCUCAUCCCCCCUUUCUGCUGAUUCCGUGUGGUCUGUGAUGUUGCUAUGAGGAUUCCAAGAAACUGAGUGUGUAAGCCACCUAGUUCUGAACCUCACACAGAGCAGACUAGAUGUCCAGGUCUUCUCAACACUCUGCUUGCACUGCUAGGACAGGCCACUGCCACGACACCUGGCCCUCCCUGCUAACUGCUGAGAACACCUUCAGUUUCCCUCAAAAGAACCAUCAGCCUGAUCAGAAUGUGGAUUACCUACAUCCUGUGGAUCUGAUGAUGGGCCACCCUAGCUGUUUCCUACAGAACACCAGACUCACCUCUCCCUCCUCACUGCUUGGUACUUGCUGCUUGCUGUCUGGGGAGAAUUCUGCUGCCAAAUCAGCUGGCUUCCCUGACAGCUCAGUCCUGUGACUU